CCCAUCGCUCAGAGUCGCUGAGAACUAGCCUCAGCGUUGUUUACCUCGGGUAGACGGGCUGAGGUCAUCACACGCACAUUACCCGGAACUAGACAGGGGAAAGGUUCAUUUCUCUGCCCGAUGACACAGCUUUACCUCAGGCAGCCAGCAGUGCCUGGCCCUGCUGCAGAGGGUCCACACUAAAGAUGUCCUUCAAAUCCGGAGCCCUGGCUGCAGUCUCAUUUGCAGAAAUGUUCGGGACAUAAGAUUAUGUUAUUUAGUAAACCCUGAAGAUGUGAAGGUGCUCACCUCUGGGUCCUGGUCGUCCUCCAUAGAUUCGGUUUCACCUUUCAACGCUGUGUCUUCCAGACACCCUCUGUCCAUUUCCAGCGUCGGAGGAUGGCUUCAACAGGCGGAAGGGGAUCGACCAGCUGUUCGAUCUUCACACAGUUCCGAAGGAUCAUUGCAGCGUCAGAUGUUGAAGUUGCCAUUACGAUGCCAGGGCAGUCCAGAAGCUUGAUGUGUUUGUCCAAAUGCACCUCCUGAAGGCACCUAAGAUCCCACACACGUUUAGCAAAACAAGAAGAAAAACAGGAACCAGCAGAGAAAGAACAUAUUGUAAACUUACUUGGUCACACCAGGUGUCGCUCCAACGUUACAAGCUCGUGCUCGUUUUAGACUGUUGAUCAAACUACUCUUUCCCACAUUAGGAAAACCUAUAAAAACAGCACAGAAAAUUACCAAAAAUAGUUUCACUUGAAAUCAAAUCCCAGGUGUCUGACUGGAUUUGCUACUCACCUACUACGCCUACAGUGAUGGCUGUCUUUAUGUCUAGGUUGCGGCAGUAGUUGCCCAGUAACUUCAUUAAACAGUCUGCACCAAUGCAGGCACUGCUGCUGAGGAGCUCCGUGGUGGCCUGUGUCACUGGAACACUGCUGCGUUUCUAACCAUGUCGGGGAACAAAAGAAAAACAGGGCAAACAGUGUUACUGAAUACUUUAUGCUUUAGUAUUUGAGCUCAGACAAGUGUUCAAAUACAGUCAAAGAAAUAAACCAUACCAAGUUCUUGUUUUGUUGUUGAGUAGAUGCUUUAAAAGCUACCGUGGGAAACUCAUUACGAAGAUACUUAAUCCAUUUCUCCACAAUGUCUUUGGAGACAAGAUCUAUAAUAAAUAAAAAGCAUAAAGCAUAA